rnacentral:misc_RNA from 1 species
GAAAUGCGAUAAGUAGUGUGAAUUGCAGAAUUCAGUGAAUCAUCGAAUCUUUGAACGCACAUUGCGCCCCUUGGUAUUCCAUGGGGCAUGCCUGUUCGAGCGUCAUUUGUGCCCUCAAGCUCUGCUUGGUGUUGGGUGUUUGUCCCGUCUCCGCGCGUGGACUCGCCCCAAAGUGAUUGGCAGCCGGCGUACUGGUCCCGGAGCGCAGCACAUGUCGCGCAAACGAGUGCCUUGGUACGGCGGCGUCCAUAAGCCCCUCUCUCACGCUCUUGACCUCGGAUCAGGUAGGGAUACCCGCUGAACUUAAGC